GAACGCGAAGAACCUUACCAAGACUUAAAUGGGAAUUGACAGCUAUAGAGAUAUGGUUUUCUUCGGACAAUUUUCAAGGUGCUGCAUGGUUGUCGUCAGCUCGUGCCGUGAGGUGUUAGGUUAAGUCCUGCAACGAGCGCAACCCUUGUCACUAGCUGCCAUCAUUAAGUUGGGGACUCUAGUGAGACUGCCUACGCAAGUAGAGAGGAAGGUGGGGAUGACGUCAAAUCAUCACGGCCCUUACGUCUUGGGCCACACACGUAAUACAAUGGGCGAUACAGAGGGCAGCUACACAGCGAUGUGAUGCGAAUCUCGAAAGUCGUUCUCAGUUCGGAUUGGAGUCUGCAACUCGACUCUAUGAAGCUGGAAUCGCUAGUAAUCGCGUAUCAGCCAUGACGCGGUGAAUACGUUCCCGGGUCUUGUACACACC
rnacentral:rRNA from 1 species